rnacentral:rRNA from 1 species
AGAGUUUGAUCCUGGCUCAGGAUGAACGCUAGCGGCAGGCUUAACACAUGCAAGUCGAGGGGUAUAGGUUUUCGGACCUAGAGACCGGCGCACGGGUGCGUAACGCGUAUGCAAUCUACCUUUUACAGAGGGAUAGCCCAGAGAAAUUUGGAUUAAUACCUCAUAGUAUUAUUGAGUGGCAUCAUUUAAUAAUUAAAGUUCCAACGGUAAAAGAUGAGCAUGCGUCCCAUUAGCUAGAUGGUAAGGUAACGGCUUACCAUGGCAACGAUGGGUAGGGGUCCUGAGAGGGAGAUCCCCCACACUGGUACUGAGACACGGACCAGACUCCUACGGGAGGCAGCAGUGAGGAAUAUUGGUCAAUGGGCGCAAGCCUGAACCAGCCAUGCCGCGUGCAGGAUGACGGUCCUAUGGAUUGUAAACUGCUUUUGUACAGGAAGAAACAGUUCUACGUGUAGAACCUUGACGGUACUGUAAGAAUAAGGAUCGGCUAACUCCGUGCCAGCAGCCGCGGUAAUACGGAGGAUCCAAGCGUUAUCCGGAAUCAUUGGGUUUAAAGGGUCCGUAGGCGGUUUUGUAAGUCAGUGGUGAAAGCCCAUCGCUCAACGGUGGAACGGCCAUUGAUACUGCAAGACUUGAAUUAUUAGGAAGUAACUAGAAUAUGUAGUGUAGCGGUGAAAUGCUUAGAUAUUACAUGGAAUACCAAUUGCGAAGGCAGGUUACUACUAAUGGAUUGACGCUGAUGGACGAAAGCGUGGGGAGCGAACAGGAUUAGAUACCCUAGUAGUCC